rnacentral:rRNA from 1 species
CAGUAGCCGCGGUAAUACGAAGGGUGCAAGCGUUACUCGGAAUUACUGGGCGUAAAGCGUGAGUAGGUGGUUGUUUAAGUUUGUCGUGAAAGCCCUGGGCUCAACCUGGGAAUUGCGAUGGAUACUGGGCGACUAGAGUGCGGUAGAGGAUAGUGGAAUUUCCGGUGUAGCAGUGAAAUGCGUAGAGAUCGGAAGGAACAUCUGUGGCGAAGGCGACUAUCUGGGCCAACACUGUCACUGAGACACGAAAGCGUGGGGAGCAAACAGGAUUAGAUACCCCCGUAGUCCCUGUCUCUUAUAA